rnacentral:rRNA from 1 species
GAUGAACGCUGGCGGCGUGCCUAAUACAUGCAAGUCGAGCGAACGGACGAGAAGCUUGCUUUUCUGAUGUUAGCGGCGGACGGGUGAGUAACACGUGGAUAACCUACCUAUAAGACUGGGAUAACUUCGGGAAACCGGAGCUAAUACCGGAUAAUAUUUUGAACCGCAUGGUUCAAAAGUGAAAGACGGUCUUGCUGUCACUUAUAGAUGGAUCCGCGCUGCAUUAGCUAGUUGGUAAGGUAACGGCUUACCAAGGCAACGAUGCAUAGCCGACCUGAGAGGGUGAUCGGCCACACUGGAACUGAGACACGGUCCAGACUCCUACGGGAGGCAGCAGUAGGGAAUCUUCCGCAAUGGGCGAAAGCCUGACGGAGCAACGCCGCGUGAGUGAUGAAGGUCUUCGGAUCGUAAAACUCUGUUAUUAGGGAAGAACAUAUGUGUAAGUAACUGUGCACAGCUUGACGGUACCGAAUCAGAAAGCCACGGCUAACUACGUG